UACGUAUGGGGCAAGCGUUAUCCGGAUUCAUUGGGCGUAAAGAGCGCGUAGGCGGCUUGGUAAGUCAGAUGUGAAAACCGGGGGCUCAACCCGCGGCCUGCAUCUGAAACUGCCAGGCUUGAGUCUGGUAGAGGAAAGUGGAAUUCCUAGUGUAGCGGUGAAAUGCGCAGAUAUUAGGAGGAACACCAGUGGCGAAGGCGGCUUUCUGGGCCACGACUGACGCUGAGGCGCGAAAGCUAGGGGAGCAAACAGG
rnacentral:rRNA from 1 species